rnacentral:rRNA from 1 species
AUACGGAGGAUGCAAGCGUUAUCCGGAUUUAUUGGGUUUAAAGGGUGCGUAGGCGGUUUGUCAAGUCAGCGGUGAAACGCAAGGGCUUAACCCUUGACCUGCCGUUGAAACUGGCGGACUUGAAUGCGGAUGCUGUGGGAGGAAUGUGUGGUGUAGCGGUGAAAUGCAUAGAUAUCACACAGAACACCGAUUGCGAAGGCAUCUCACAAAUCCGUGAUUGACGCUGAGGCACGAAAGUGUGGGGAUCAAACAGGAUUAGAUACCCUGGUAGUCCACACUGUAAACGAUGAUGACUCGCUGUCGGCGAUAUACAGUCGGUGGCCAAGCGAAAGCGAUAAGUCAUCCACCUGGGGAGUACGACCGCAGGGUUGAAACUCAAAGGAAUUGACGGGG